CGUAGGGUGCAAGCGUUAAUCGGAAUUACUGGGCGUAAAGCGUGCGCAGGCGGUUUUGUAAGUCUGACGUGAAAUCCCCGGGCUCAACCUGGGAAUUGCGUUGGAGACUGCAAGGCUAGAAUCUGGCAGAGGGGGUAGAAUUCCACGUGUAGCAGUGAAAUGCGUAGAGAUGUGGAGGAACACCGAUGGCGAAGGCAGCCCCCUGGGUCAAGAUUGACGCUCAUGCACGAAAGCGUGGGAGCAAACAGGAUU
rnacentral:rRNA from 1 species